UUUUCUAAGUCUGAUGUGAAAGCCUUCGGCUUAACCGGAGAAGUGCAUCGGAAACUGGAUAACUUGAGUGCAGAAGAGGGUAGUGGAACUCCAUGUGUAGCGGUGGAAUGCGUAGAUAUAUGGAAGAACACCAGUGGCGAAGGCGGCUACCUCGGUCUGCAACUGACGCUGAGACUCGAAAGCAUGGGUAGCGAACAGGAUUAGAUACCCCUGGUAG
rnacentral:rRNA from 1 species